rnacentral:lncRNA from 1 species
CACAAUCAGGGAGAGGGGCAGCAGGAGAAGCAGAAGCAGACUCCUGGUUGAGCAGGGAACCUGAUGUGGGGCUCAAUCCCAGGACCCUGAGAUUAUGAUCUGAGCUGAAGACAGAUGCUUAACUGACUGAGCCACCCAAGAAUCCCUGGAGCCAAUAUUCUUAAUGUAUUUUAUUUUCCAGUUGCUUCGGAUAGCAAGUGAGGCAGAAAUGGCUCACUGACCACUUAAAUCUGUGCCUCUUUCCCAUGGCACAGAGUUGUUGCUGGAAAGUGACUGUCUAAGCAAUGCCUACAUUCCCAGCCCACUCGGAUCUGGGAAGGACCAUGCAAUUAGUACUGACCAGAGCGAAAUACAACAGGAAGCGAAAGUCUUGUAUCCCCGAAGCCGAGGAGGGAAAAAUGCCUUGGUAUGAUUGUUUCAUUAUGUAACACUUCACACAACACCCCGGAGGAAAUGGCUCCAGGAGAAAGAUAAAAAUACAUUCUGAGAUGUAAAAAAAAGAAAGAAAGAAAAACCCAACUCCUGCUGUCUCGUUUUUCUCCAUUACUUCAAAUGCAGACGGGCAAAAGUGAGUAAUUAAAGAAAGAAAUCUGGUGUUAUUUAAAGGGAACUUGAAUAACAACCAAGUACCAACACCAAUAGCGUGGCAUACGAGUUGAUGUGUUGGAUUAUGUCACCCAAGUGCCUAAUAUCCCAA